rnacentral:rRNA from 1 species
GACGAACGCUGGCGGCGUGCUUAACACAUGCAAGUCGAACGGAAAGGCCCUGCUUUUGUGGGGUGCUCGAGUGGCGAACGGGUGAGUAACACGUGAGUAACCUGCCCUUGACUUUGGGUUAACUUCAGGAAACUGGGGCUAAUACCGGAUAGGAGCACCUGCUGCAUGGUGGGGGUUGGAAAGUUUCGGCGGUUGGGGAUGGACUCGCGGCUUAUCAGCUUGUUGGUGGGGUAGUGGCUUACCAAGGCUUUGACGGGUAGCCGGCCUGAGAGGGUGACCGGCCACAUGGGGACUGAGGUACGGCCCAGAGUGCUACUGGGGGCAGCGGUGGGGAAUAUUGCACAAUGGGCGGAAGCCUGAUACAGCAACGCCGCGUUCGGGAUGACGUCCUGCGGGUAGUGAACCGCUUGCGCCUGUGACGAAGCGUGAGUGACGGUAAUGGGUAAAUAAGCACCGGCUAACUACGUG